GCAGCAGCCGCGGGAAUACAGAGGGUGCAAGCGUUAAUCGGAAUUACUGGGCGUAAAGCGCGCGUAGGUGGUUUGUUAAGUUGGAUGUGAAAUCCCCGGGCUCAACCUGGGAACUGCAUCCAAAACUGGCAAGCUAGAGUAUGGUAGAGGGUGGUGGAAUUUCCUGUGUAGCGGUGAAAUGCGUAGAUAUAGGAAGGAACACCAGUGGCGAAGGCGACCACCUGGACUGAUACUGACACUGAGGUGCGAAAGCGUGGGGAGCAAACAGGAUUAGAUACCCCGGUAGUCCCUGUCUCUUAUAC
rnacentral:rRNA from 1 species